rnacentral:rRNA from 1 species
AUGAUGAUGGCUUGCGUCAAGACCAUGCAGGAGGGCACAGCGCCUCCGGUGACCAUGGUCUCGACAAGCAUCGAAGCCGUGCAGGAGGACGCAACACCUCCGACGACCACGGCACCGGAAACCGUUAAGUCCGCGCGGGAGGCACGAAGCUCUUCAACUAAUCCCCUCCCGACAUCGAUAGCGCUCUACCCGACAACAAUGUUCUCGGGAGACUACGAUUGGGAGGAGAUGAAGACCCGGGUGUGGGGGAGCCACGGCCUGGCAACCACGUCCCCUGCGACGCUGGUCAAGCCCAUGCAAGUUGGCACGGCAAAGGCAUCCCCGACAUCCUCGGGACCCGACAAGCCCGUGUCAGGAGGCACCGCAACGACACAUCUGGUGGGCCACGUCCCGACCAUGAUGAUGGCGACCAGUGAGCCCGUGCAAGAGGCAUGGCACUCUGAGGUCGGCCACACCCCGACAACCAGGUUCUCGGCGUUCUGCAAGCCCGUGUGGGCGACACGGCACUCUUCGACAAGCCUCAACUGGGAGGCAAUGAAGAGACGGUCAUGGGGCGGCAAGGCCUCGACCGAGACUACGACGACCAUAGAGUCCGUGCAGGAGGCACAACACUCUUUGGUCGGCUAUGCCGUGACCCCGACGCGCUCGGGGUCCAUCGAGUCCGUGCGGGGCGCACCGGACUCCGUAGUUGGGCACGACCUGACUACGCUGGUGGCGGCCGUCGAGACCGUGCAGGAGGCACGGUGCUCUAUGGUUGGCCACACCGCAGCCCCGACGCACUCGGGGUCUAUCGACUCCGUGCGGGUGGCACGACACUCUCUGGAAGGGCAUGCCCCAACCACGCUGGUGGCGACUGUCGAGACCGUGCAGAAGGCACGGUGCUCUAUGGUCGACGACGCCGCAACCCCGACGCGCUCGGGGUCCAUCGAGUCCGUGUGGGAGGCACGACUCACAACUGUCGGGGGAGACCCGACAAGCAAGUCUGAUGGGAGAGCGACAAGGAGUCCAAUACCUUGGGAGAAGCCACUCCGGGUAGUGCGAUGUCCGACAAGUCAUCCCCGGGAAGGGAGUUCCCGGGUAGCAUGA